rnacentral:rRNA from 1 species
UACAGAGGUCUCAAGCGUUGUUCGGAAUCAUUGGGCGUAAAGCGCGCGUAGGCGGCCCUGUAAGUCCGUUGUGAAAGUCAAAGGCUCAACCUUUGAAAGCCGAUGGAUACUGCAGGGCUAGAGUCCGGAAGAGGCGAGUGGAAUUCCUGGUGUAGCGGUGGAAUGCGCAGAUAUCAGGAGGAACACCAAUAGCGAAGGCAGCUCGCUGGGACGGUACUGACGCUAAGGCGCGAAAGCGUGGGGAGCGAACAGG